UUAACAUAUUAUGUCCUUAUAAUCUACAAAGUUUCAUGAAAUUCUGUUGUGUAGUUUCAGAGGAGUUGCGAUGACAAACUGUUGCAGUAGUAUAUUGAGGCCAAUAAAUGCAAAGGGGCAUAACUCCUACAAAUAAACUGCUUUGCUGAGCGCAGCUGGAUACGCCCGCAGAGGUCCAACCCUGAACAGUUGGGGCAAAAAUGAACACAAUAUUCAAGCUUGAUACAGGUCUGAAUUUGGAUUGUAUUAAAUAUUUGACAUAAUAUAGGUUUUUGAAUAAAUGUAGUCAAAGAACUUGAAAUUGGUUAUAUGAAUUGAAUUUAUAUUCAAUUAAAGAUUUCUUGCUGUUGUGCAAUACACUGUGCUGUUGCGCAAUACUUAGUAAAUCUGUUGUCAGACUAUAAACAAAUAAAGUUCAAUUAAUUCUCAAUGACAUAUUAGAAAUUUAUGAAAGUGUAAAGGGAGCUUACAUCAAUAGAUAUAAACAAUUCACCAAAGUUUCAUGAGAAUUGCUGACAGCAUUUUUGAGUUAUUGUCCGAAAACUGGAAAAUCCCCCUUUUUUAAUGAAUAAAACCCCAUAACUCAGAAAUGUAAAAUGUAAAAUUUAUAAAAUGUUAAACGGAGCUUACAUUAAUAGAUAUAAACAAUUCACCAAAGUUUCAUAAGAACUGCUGAAAGUAUUUUUGAUUUUUUGUACGAAAACUGGAAAAUCCCCCUUUUUCUAUGAAUAUUUCUAUGAGCUCAUGUCAAUAGGUCAAUAGAUAUAAACAAUUCACCACAAUUUCUUGCAAGUUGGUGAAAGCAUUCUUGAGUUAUUGUCCGGAAACUGGAAAAUCCCCCUUUUUUUAAUGAAUAAAACCCGAUAACUAGGAAACGUAAAAUCUAAAAUUUAUAAAAAACAAAAGGGAGCUCACGUCAAUAGAUAUAAAAAAUUCACCAAAGUUUUAUGCAAAUUGGUUAAAGCGUUUUUGAGUUAAUGUCUGACAUGUUGACGACGGACGGACAGACGGACGGACGGACGGACGGACAGACGGACAACGGUAUACCAUAAUACGUCCCGUAAACGGGCGUAUAAAAAGUAACAGACUUGCACGAAAAAAUGUAAAAAAUAAACGUUUCAAGGUCAAUAACUCGUUAAGGAGUCAAUCGACUAUUUUGAUCAUUUGACUUAUUCGUAGAUCCUACUUAGCUGAACAUAUUUGACAUUCACACUUUCUCUCUAUCUAUUAUAAUAUCAAAGAUAAUAACCAAUAAACUGCUUCGCCUAGCGCAGCUGGAUACGACCGCAGAGGACUAACCCUGAACAGUUGGGGCAAAAAUGGACACAAUAUUCGCGCUUGAUACAGGUCUGAAUUUGGAUUGUAAUUAAAUUUUUGACACAUAAUAGGUUUCUGACACAGAAUAACUGUAGUCAAAGAACUUCAAAUUGGUUAUAUGAUUUGAAUUUAUAUUCAAUUUUUGGCUUUGUGCAAUACACUAUGCUGUUGCGAAUUGACCCCCC